ensembl:lncRNA
GUGGCUCCUGCAGUUUUUUUUCAGAGAAAGCAGAGGGUUGGCUCUGCCCUCUCCUCAGACAGACCCUCUGCUUCCAGCCCCAUGGGUCAGCCCCUGCUGUAUGAAGACAGGAGGCAGGGGAAGACAAGGCAAAGGAGCUUCCAGAAUUGUCUUUGGGAUGUUAGGGAAAAGUGGCAGCUGUGAAUUCAACUACAGAUCCUCCCUGUCUUUGCUUUUUUUUUAACUGAUGAGUGCUUGGCGAAGUUCUGCUUAUUCUGCUGCCGCUGCCAAGGCAAAAGAGGAUACCUUGUACCGAAGUUACCGUCACACGGGGGAGCCUCUCUGUAGGACAAAUCCCUAGCACCACACCUGGCACUGAGUCAGUCCUUGAUAAAUACACAUCGUUUGGGAGCCGGGUCUUGGGAACAUGAGCUUCUACAUGGAGUAGACACCUGUGAUCUCGGUUCUUUGCACACCCAUCAGCCCUGCUCCUGGAUCCGGUCUCUUCACACUGGAUUCUGAGUGCAGAUGCCUACUGGUUCUUCACCUAGUGCUGGGAUUCCUGAGCUCCUCGCUGGCUAUCAGGAAGCUACUCCUCCACUGCAACCAGGCUGAGGAGGCGCUGAGUGAAAAUGUGAAAAGAAGACGUCAUCAGGAGUGUCUAAGAAGAGAAAGGGAGUUGAACAAUUGUUACCGCUUCAGCCUGAGAUAAUUUUUCAGCUGAAUUGCUAAAAUAGGAAGAAUCUGGCCUUUUCUACUUUAGGAAAACAAUGUUCUGGAGAUGAAGCUUUUAAAGAAAAUGCUAUCUGAAUGUGUAUUGAAACAAGAAUAAUUGAGCAGCCAUUGUUCUGGCCCAUUCCUUGCAAGUCUGGAAGGUUUCUGAAGUUGAGGCUCUAAUUAAAAGAAAAUUUUUCUUCUCAGAUGCAUCUCAGUGGUAUUGUUCUGUUUUAUCCCAUGGGGAGCUUGCGGGUGCCAGGCCACCCACAGCAAGGAUGUCUGGACUCUGGGGUCUGUGUCUGAUGUGAACCUGGAGCGAGGCAGCCCCAGCAAAUGUCCGGAGGGUCACUGCGUGUCUGGUGGGGACAGAGGAUCUGAGGACGCUCGUCCACUUCACACUGCACGACAACAGUGGAAAGCACGAGCUUCCUCCUGCAGAGUCGUCACCCUCUCAGGGAGCCUGGGUCAGAGCUGCCCCUCUGCAGAGGGACCAGCGGACUCGCCGUGUGUUUCCAUGGGAGAUGCCCCAACCUCAGACACGAGGCUCUUCUCCAGGGUGUGGGUUCCAGGCAGGAAUGAGCCUCUUACAGGCGCUGUCAUGUGUCUGGGGGCACUUCGUGUUUCCUGGCCCAGGAGGUCUCAGGGGAGGACUGGGGCCAGAAAGGCAGGUGCAGGAGCGAGCGUGGACUUGAGUUCCCCUGACCUCCCUGGGCUCCUCCUCAGCUGGGUGGGUGUCAUCACAGUGCCUGCCUCUUGGGGGCGCUGUGGGGUUACAGGGGAUGAUGUGUCUCCUGGGUUUGCAGAGCUGUAAAGGGGGCUUUGCUCCGUGAGCAGAUGUGAGGGAGUGACCAGGUGGCAACCACGUCCCGAGUCAGUGAGGAUGGGCUGUGCACCUGGUC